GAACGCUGGCGGCAUGCCUUACACAUGCAAGUCGAACGGCAGCACGGGAGCAAUCCUGGUGGCGAGUGGCGAACGGGUGAGUAAUAUAUCGGAACGUGCCCAGUCGUGGGGGAUAACGUAGCGAAAGCUACGCUAAUACCGCAUACGAUCUAUGGAUGAAAGCGGGGGAUCGCAAGACCUCGCGCGAUUGGAGCGGCCGAUAUCAGAUUAGGUAGUUGGUGGGGUAAAAGCCUACCAAGCCUUCGAUCUGUAGCUGGUCUGAGAGGACGACCAGCCACACUGGAACUGAGACACGGUCCAGACUCCUACGGGAGGCAGCAGUGGGGAAUUUUGGACAAUGGGCGCAAGCCUGAUCCAGCAAUGCCGCGUGCAGGAUGAAGGCCUUCGGGUUGUAAACUGCUUUUGUACGGAACGAAACGGUUCUCUCUAAUACAGGGGGCUAAUGACGGUACCGUAAGAAUAAGCACCGGCUAACUACGUG
rnacentral:rRNA from 1 species